UACACAGCAACUCCUAUCCCUACCUCCGCGUGGUACCGGCUGGAAACUACGAGCAACCUUAGGGAUGAUCGGGUAACCAACCCCGGUGGAAAUUUUGGCCAUAGGUUGACAGGGAAGG
rnacentral:ribozyme from 1 species